GUGAAUGCUUGUGAUAUGCUUUAACACAUGCGUGUCUAAUUAAUUAAAAAUUUUUUAAUUAUUGCUAAGAGGUGAGUAGAGUAUAAGUAGAUUACCUAAUAAUAUAGUUAAACUUUUUUAUGUAAUACUGCAUAGUGGUUAUAAAACUUAUUGAAAAAACCAUAAAGAUUGUUAAUCGUUAUUAGAUGUUCUUAUACAAGAUUAGGUUGUUGGUGAAGUAACGGUUUACCAAGCCAUAUCCUUAGUUGAUCUGGGAGGAUGGUCAACCACAUUGGGAUAGAGAUAAGGCCCAACUUUCUUCUAAGUAGCAGCAGUGGGAAUCUUGGACACUAUGCGACAGCAUGAUCCAGCGAUAUCGCGUUGAGGAUGAAGGUUUAAUUAUCGUAAACUCUUGUUCAUUUAUUUGAAUGAUGAUCUGUAAAUGAAAAGCUCCGACUAACUUCGU
rnacentral:rRNA from 1 species